CGAAGAAUCACACGAAAUGCCACAAUUCUGGUGAUCAUCCAAAAAGUCGGAUGGGAAAUGAAAGCACCACGAAUGGCACCUUUUAAGAAGAUGGACGUUGGAAGAAGAAAAUAAUAAGCAAUAAUCCUACUUACAGUUUUUUCAAAUGAACAUUCUUCUCUAGAUAUGAAAAGGAAAAGACACAAAUAGACUUAAGUUUCAAGACUUCAGUAAUUGCAGAUGUGAUGGAAAGAGCAAGAGAACUAGCAUUAGAAGUGAAUCUGAAGAUGUCCCCACAUGUCUCAGUCAUUGGUAGUGUCUUCCUUCAUUAUAAAUGUGAUGACCCACGUUUCCUAUCUGCAUCCAACGUCAGCAAACUCAAGGUUUGAUCUUCAAGCAAGUAAAGGAUCUAACACGAAUGCUGUAUAUAAUUAAGUAGACAUGUAAAAU